rnacentral:lncRNA from 1 species
GAUGGAAAUAUUCAUAAAAUCAAGAAAGCCAUGAUGUUUUUGGCCUUCACAAAUAUGAUUGGAUUUUGCUGCACCUUUUUAGUGACAGAGACAAAAGGAAGGUCACUGGAGGAAAUUUCAGGGGAGGAUGAGCAGAAGAGUGAGACACAGAUGAAGAGUACUAGGCCUGUCUCUGGUCACCAGGACGAUGGAUGGGAUUGAGAUAUAUAUUGGCAAGUUUAUUUUUCAUUUUGAGCAAUACGUAGAUACAUAUAUAUAUACACAUAUAGCAAAAUGUAUUAAUAAGUGGGCGAUGGAUGUCACACAAUGUUGUGUUGCAGCGUCAGUCACCUCCAGAAUAAUGGCUUCACUAAGCAAGGAAAUUAGAAUAGUAGUUUUCUUUCACCAAUUGGCGUGUUUAUUCCUAUCCUGCUCCCUCCCGAAGUGGUUAUUUCCUUUGCUGUCUGAAGCGUAAAGUGGGUUAACUAUGU